rnacentral:rRNA from 1 species
CCUACGGGUGGCAGCAGUGGGGAAUAUUGGUCAAUGGACGCAAGCCUGACCCAGCAACGCCGCGUGCAGGAAGAAGGCUUUCGGGUUGGAAACUUCUUUUCUGAGGGACGAAGAACGUGACGGUACCUCCGGAAUAAGCCACGGCUAACUACGUGCCAGCAGCCGCGGUAAUACGUAGGUGGCAAGCAUUAGCCGGAUUUAUUGGGUGUAAAGGGUGUGUAGGCGGGAAAGCAAGUCAGAGGUGAAAACUCAGGGCUCAACCCUGAGCCUGCAUUUGAAACUGUUUUUCUUGAGUGCUGGAGCGGUAAUCGGAAUGCAGUGUGUAGCGGUGAAAUGCGUAGAUAUACGGAGGAACACCAGUGGCGAAGGCGGAUUGCCGGACAGUAACUGACGCUGAGGCGCGAAAGCGUGGGGAGCAAACAGGAUUAGAUACCCUUGUAGUC